GACCGCUGAGAUUAUCAGGAUGUUUCAUUUCAAAAGUGGGGAUGUACACACCUGAAGAAAUGAAUAAAUAUGAAUGUGUGCUAGUGCCAAUAUGUGAAAUGCUGCAUUGGUGGCUCAUUGCAUACACUAUUAGAGCAGGCAAACUCUAUGUGUUAUGCAGUAUGGGGUGGAAAAAAAGUGAAGUUGCAUCCAGUAUACGAAGAUAUUUUCAGCAUGUGAGGCAAGAGCAAAGAUGGCCAGAAGACAUUGCUC